CCCUUGCCUCCAGGUACCACCCCCCGCAGCUCCCAUGGCCGGGAAUGGGGAACUGCAGCAGUGGGAGCUUCGGGGCAGGUACCUGGAGGCGUAGCAAGGGCAGCAUGUGGAGCCCUGUGCCUCCUGUCCCCAGGGGCUGCAGUGCAGGUUGCUUCCUGG